rnacentral:rRNA from 1 species
GUCGAGCGAGAAGACGUAGCAAUACGUUUGUAAAGCGGCGAACGGGUGAGGAAUACAUGGGUAACCUACCCUCGAGUGGGGAAUAACUAGCCGAAAGGUUAGCUAAUACCGCGUACGCUCCUUGGACUUCGGUUCAGGGAGGAAAGCGAGGCCGUGGGUCUCGCGCUCUUGGAUGGGCUCAUGUCCUAUCAGCUUGUUGGUGAGGUAACGGCUCACCAAGGCUUCGACGGGUAGCUGGUCUGAGAGGACGAUCAGCCACACUGGCACUGCGACACGGGCCAGACUCCUACGGGAGGCAGCAGUAAGGAAUAUUGCGCAAUGGGCGAAAGCCUGACGCAGCGACGCCGCGUGGGGGAUGAAGGUCUUCGGAUUGUAAACCCCUUUCGGGAGGGAAGAUGGAGCGAGCAAUCGUUCGGACGGUACCUCCAGAAGCAGCCACGGCUAACUUCGUGCCAGCAGCCGCGGUAAUACGAAGGUGGCAAGCGUUGUUCGGAUUUACUGGGCGUACAGGGAGCGUAGGCGGUUCGGUAAGCCCUCUGUGAAAUCUCCAGGCUUAACCUGGAACA